UUGCCCUUUUAAGCUGCGGCUUGACAGGGGCCGCGCCUCCUGUCGGUGGAGUCGGCUACAAAGGGAGCAGCCCCCCAGGCCGCCACACAGCUCCCGCCAAGACCUGGUGCCCCUUGCCAUUUUCCAGCCGCGCUCCCAGGAGAGUGGAGGCUGCAGGAAGAGGCGGGUCUUUAGGCUCACAAGAGCUCGGCCAGGCGGCCCCGCGGGGUGGUCGUGGCCAUGACAGCGGCUCCAGACGGCUCCCCUUCCACGCCCUUCCCGCCGGAGAUGAGGGGAAGAUGUCUGUGUCAAGAUUCAAGGCCAAACUGAAGUUGCUGGCGUCUAUCUUCCACGAGAACCAGGAGGCUCAGCUGCGGCUCACGCUCCACUGCAACAUGAGAAUGGGACAACAGAAGAAGUGACUUCAGAGGAAGAGGAAGAAGAGGAGAUGGCUGAAAUUCAACCAAGAUGGUGUCCUGGGUAUGGUGGAAGAAGAUGUUCUCUGGGAUGCAGACAUUUCCCUGAACAAGUCCAUCACAGAGAGCAGGAGAGUCUGGCCUCUUCAGAUGUGAGCCAUCAUUAAGUUCAAAUUCACUCCACCAUCCAUGCAAACUGUGAGAGCUGCUCCAUGGUGCCCAAAUCAGCACAUUCAGCUAGAAUCUCUUGUCACUGGAGAAGCUGUCUGAUUCUCUGAACAUGACGCAAGCCUUGCUGUCACCACCACCGUGAAGGUCAGAUACAGCACCCAAGGCCCUUGCGCCUCUGCCACCGCUGUGAGAAGUACAUAUCCUGGCCAGCCUGCUGACUCAGGAGGUUGAGAAUCAGGUGCAGCAGACCAGAGCACUGCUUCAGUGUCAGGGUAGAGCUGCUCCAUGACCCAGAGAUUCAUACGAUGUGUCCUAGAGUGCAUGAAAGAAGCUGGAGAAAAAUCACCAUGGAGUUUAUCCUGGUUUUGCCUCUCAUGGAAAGAAGAGAGACAACUGAAGCCUCAAUCCAGGUAAAGAAGCAUUCUUGCAAGCCCAUCCAUGUAAAGUGUAUGAAAAGUGGGCCUUUUCCCUGAAAUUAUCCAGAUCCUGAUUUCAUUUACAUUUUGUUUUAUGAUUUUGGGGAAAUUCCAUCAGUAACCUAACAGGUUUAUUUCCUAUCUUUAGGAAAUAAAUAUACAGAUAGUAAAUUGUGCAGUUCGUAUCUGCAGAGCUUUCAUUCUUGGUCAUCUUUUUAUAACAUCUUAUCAAAGAUAACUGCAACAAACAGGUCUGGGGACAAGAACAGGGAAGCACAAGACCAGUUUCAUUGCAGCUAUAAAAAUAACCCUUUGUUUCCCAUUGUACUUUACAAGCAGGCGGCACUCUGCGUGUCCUGGAAAGGUUGGGUCUGCUGACCUUGGAGGGUUUUUUAUGAUCAGUAAGGAGCAGGGACAUAUGGCCCCAGGUGAAACCUUGGGUGAGUUGGGCCGUCCAUACAAGGCUCAUGAGACAAGUCAUCUCACUUGGGCCUUUCAGGGUCCGGUGAAAUGAGUAUAAUCCCCUCACUUUACAGACCAACAAACUGAGGUUCAAAGAGGCUAAUAAACUGGCCCAACGAUGUACAAUGAGUAAGUAAGUGGUUAUGUCACUUCACAUGUUUAGCCUUUCCCAGUCUCAUCUGUCAAAGGGUCUGUAAGAUUCUCUUCAAAACUCGCACAACCCCACCCCUCUGGGAAGGCACCAGAAAGCCUGAGCCAGCUCUCCUGGGAGGCUGCAGGGCAGUGAGUGUGCCUGCAUCCAGUGGCAGCAGUGCACACAGGGAGCGAGCAGCACCAGGCACUUCUCCCUCCAUGGCAGGGUCUACACGUCCCCCAGUGCACAUCUCAAGCUCAUACGAUACACUCUGCCAAGUCCAUUUUGAAUUCCAUGGCCUGAAUCAUUAACUUUCAAAGCCAAAGCAUUUAAAAGAUAAAAUUAUCCUCUUGGCACUCCUCAAACUGUGCUCUUGACCUCUUCUGUUAGGCUACAGUUUUGUUUCUGGCUGUGCAAAUGUCACAUAAUGCCACUGCACCCGGCAGUAUCUUCUUCAUAGCAACAGAUCAUAAUAAAAGUCCCUCGGAGGCUGUUUGUGUUUCACAUACACAUGGAAUGAAAGAAAAAUGCAGUGUGCUAUAUAAAGCGAGAGAAAUGCAUAAGCUUCAUCUUUCAUUUGCAGCCAAUUGGUUUUAAUAAGCUUUUAUGCUGAGAGGUGAAUAAUUAGCAUAUGUUCUUAAUUAAGAUUGUUCUAGAGCAGUAGAGUGCUCCAGGUCGUUAAAAAUGGUUUUGUGUCUCAAUGUCUUAAUUCUCUUAUCUUCUCAUCAGUCAAAAUACUUACAAGAAAUGAGAAUGUUUAGAUUUUUGUAUUUGCAUAAAUAAAUACUAGAAGGAAAAAUAAGGAAUUCAUUAAAACGGUUAUCAGUAUUGACGGUAGAUGCAGGGUAAAGGGGAAGGAAUGGGAGCAGGAUUUCCUUAUGUAUAAUUUUAAUUUUAUUUUGACUUUAGAAACAGGUAAAUGUAUUACCUGCUUCAAACUGAUGGAUGGACAGACAGAAAGAGCAGCAAACCAACAAGCCUCCAGCUCUCAGGCCUCUCACCUCUGGCCUUGCAUUUUCUUAAGUGUGGGUCAGCGUUAUAAGGAAAUCAGACAAAAAUACAGGAGAUGGAGUUUUGCUCUGUCACCCAGGCUGGAGGGCAAUGACACCACCAUAGCUCACUGGAGCCUGGAGCUCCUGGGCUCACAUGAUCCUCCCACCUCAGCCUCCCAGGUAGCUGGGACUACAGCCACACACCACUGUGGUGGGCUCA
rnacentral:lncRNA from 1 species